GUGAGGAAUAUUGGUCAAUGGGCGCAAGCCUGAACCAGCCAUGCCGCUUGCAGGAAGACGGUCCUAUGGAUUGUAAACUGCUUUUAUUUGGGAAUAAACUCCGGUACGUGUACCGGCCUGAAGGUACCAAAUGAAUAAGCACCGGCUAACUCCGUGCCAGCAGCCGCGGUAAUACGGAGGGUGCAAGCGUUAUCCGGAAUCAUUGGGUUUAAAGGGUCCGCAGGCGGUCUUAUAAGUCAGUGGUGAAAGCCUACAGCUCAACUGUAGAACUGCCAUUGAUACUGUAGGACUUGAAUUCGAUCGAAGUGGGCGGAAUGUGACAUGUAGCGGUGAAAUGCUUAGAUAUGUCACAGAACACCGAUAGCGAAGGCAGCUCACUAGGUCUGGAUUGACGCUCAGGGACGAAAGCGUGGGGAGCAAACAGGAUUAGAUACCCGAGUAGUCC
rnacentral:rRNA from 1 species